rnacentral:rRNA from 1 species
CCGGUGGCGGCUGGGCAUGCGGCGCAUUAGCUUGACGGCGGGGUAACGGCCCACCGUGGCGACGAUGCGUAGGGGUUCUGAGAGGAAGGCCCCCCACACUGGAACUGAGACACGGUCCAGACUCCUACGGGAGGCAGCAGUGAGGAAUAUUGGUCAAUGGGCGGAAGCCUGAACCAGCCAAGUCGCGUGAGGGAAUAAGGCCCUACGGGUCGUAAACCUCUUUUGCCGGGGAGCAAGGGCCGGGACGCGUCCCGGCCCGGAGAGUACCCGGAGAAAAAGCAUCGGCUAACUCCGUGCCAGCAGCCGCGGUAAUACGGAGGAUGCGAGCGUUAUCCGGAUUUAUUGGGUUUAAAGGGUGCGUAGGCGGGCUUUUAAGUCAGCGGUAAAAAUUCGGGGCUCAACCCCGUCCGGCCGUUGAAACUGGGGGCCUUGAGUGGGCGAGAAGAAGGCGGAAUGCGUGGUGUAGCGGUGAAAUGCAUAGAUAUCACGCAGAACCCCGAUUGCGAAGGCAGCCUUCCGGCGCCCUACUGACGCUGAGGCACGAAAGUGCGGGGAUCGAACAGGAUUAGAUACCCUGGUAGUCCGCACAGUAA